rnacentral:rRNA from 1 species
GAUGAACGCUGGCGGCGUGCCUAAUACAUGCAAGUCGAGCGAACAGACGAGGAGCUUGCUCCUCUGACGUUAGCGGCGGACGGGUGAGUAACACGUGGAUAACCUACCUAUAAGACUGGGAUAACUUCGGGAAACCGGAGCUAAUACCGGAUAAUAUAUUGAACCGCAUGGUUCAAUAGUGAAAGACGGUUUUGCUGUCACUUAUAGAUGGAUCCGCGCCGCAUUAGCUAGUUGGUAAGGUAACGGCUUACCAAGGCAACGAUGCGUAGGCGAACUGAGAGGGUGAUCGGCCACACUGGAACUGAGACACGGUCCAGACUCCUACGGGAGGCAGCAGUAGGGAAUCUUCCGCAAUGGGCGAAAGCCUGACGGAGCAACGCCGCGUGAGUGAUGAAGGUCUUCGGAUCGUAAAACUCUGUUAUUAGGGAAGAACAAAUGUGUAAGUAACUAUGCACGUCUUGACGGUACCUAAUCAGAAAGCCACGGCUAACUACGUG